rnacentral:rRNA from 1 species
AGAAUCAACGCUGGCGGCGUGCCUAACACAUGCAAGUCGAACGAGAAAGUGGAGCAAUCCAUGAGUAAAGUGGCGACCGGGUGAGUAACACGUGACUACCUACCCUUGAGUGGGGGAUAACCUCGGGAAACCGAGGCUAAUACCGCAUAACAUCGAAAGAUCAAAGGAGUAAUCCGCUUUUGGAGGGGGUCGCGGCUGAUUAGCUAGUUGGUAGGGUAAUGGCCUACCAAGGCGAAGAUCGGUAUCCGGCCUGAGAGGGCGCACGGACACACUGGAACUGAAACACGGUCCAGACUCCUACGGGAGGCAGCAGUGGGGAAUUUUGCGCAAUGGGGGAAACCCUGACGCAGCAACGCCGCGUGGAGGAUGAAGCCCCUUGGGGUGUAAACUCCUUUCGACCGGGAAAAUAAUGAUGGUACCGGUGGAAGAAGCACCGGCUAACUCUGCGCCAGCAGCCGC